rnacentral:rRNA from 1 species
UGAGGAAUAUUGGACAAUGGGCGCAAGCCUGAUCCAGCCAUGCCGCGUGCAGGAAGAAGCAUCUAUGGAGUGUAAACUGCUUUUGUACGGGAAGAAACACUCCUUCGUGAAGGAGCUUGACGGUACCGUAAGAAUAAGGAUCGGCUAACUCCGUGCCAGCAGCCGCGGUAAUACGGAGGAUCCAAGCGUUAUCCGGAAUCAUUGGGUUUAAAGUGUCCGUAGGCGGUUUAGUACGUCAGUGGUGAAAGCCCAUCGCUCAACGAUGGAACGGCCAUUGAUACUGCUAGACUUGAAUUAUUAGGAAGUAACUAGAAUAUGUAGUGUAGCGGAGAAAUACUUAGAUAUUGCAUGGAAUACCAAUUGCGAAGGCAGGUUACUACUAAUGGAUUGACGAUGAUGGACGAAAGCGUGAGGAGCGCUCA